AAAUUGAAGAGUUUGAUCCUGGCUCAGAUUGAACGCUGGCGGCAGGCCUAACACAUGCAAGUCGAACGGUAACAGGAAGCAGCUUGCUGCUUCGCUGACGAGUGGCGGACGGGUGAGUAAUGUCUGGGAAACUGCCUGAUGGAGGGGGAUAACUACUGGAAACGGUGGCUAAUACCGCAUAACGUCGCAAGACCAAAGAGGGGGACCUUCGGGCCUCUUGCCAUCAGAUGUGCCCAGAUGGGAUUAGCUAGUUGGUGAGGUAACGGCUCACCAAGGCGACGAUCCCUAGCUGGUCUGAGAGGAUGACCAGCCACACUGGAACUGAGACACGGUCCAGACUCCUACGGGAGGCAGCAGUGGGGAAUAUUGCACAAUGGGCGCAAGCCUGAUGCAGCCAUGCCGCGUGUAUGAAGAAGGCGUUCGGGUUGUAAAGUACUUUCAGCGGGGAGGAAGGUGUUGUGGUUAAUAACCGCAGCAGAUUGACGUUACCCGCAGAAGAAGCACCGGCUAACUCCGUGCCAGCAGCCGCGGUAAUACGGAGGGUGCAAGCGUUAAUCGGAAUUACUGGGCGUAAAGCGCACGCAGGCGGUCUGUCAAGUCGGAUGUGAAAUCCCCGGGCUCAACCUGGGAACUGCAUUCGAAACUGGCAGGCUUGAGUCUUGUAGAGGGGGGUAGAAUUCCAGGUGUAGCGGUGAAAUGCGUAGAGAUCUGGAGGAAUACCGGUGGGGCGAAGGCGGCCCCCUGGACAAAGACUGACGCUCAGGUGCGAAACCGUGGGGAGCAAACAGGAUUAGAUACCCUGGUAGUCCACGCCGUAAACGAUGUCUACUUGGAGGUUGUGCCCUUGAGAGCGUGGCUUCCGGAGCUAACGCGUUAAGUAGACCGCCUGGGGAGUACGGCCGCAAGCUUAAAACUCAAAUGAAUUGACGGGGGCCCGCACAAGCGGUGGAGCAUGUGGUUUAAUUCGAUCCAACGCGAAGAACCUUACCUGGUCUUGACAUCCACAGAACUUUCCAGAGAUGGACUGGUGCCUUCGGGAACUGUGAGACAGGUGCUGCAUGGCUGUCGUCAGCUCGUGUUGUGAAAUGUUGGGUUAAGUUCCGCAACGAGCGCAACCCUUAUCCUUUGUUGCCAGCGGUCCGGCCGGGAACUCAAAGGAGACUGCCAGUGAUAAACUGGAGGAAGGUGGGGAUGACGUCA
rnacentral:rRNA from 1 species